rnacentral:rRNA from 1 species
AUCCAUGGCUCAGAUUGAACGCUGGCGGCAGGCCUAACACAUGCAAGUCGAGCGGUAGAGAGAAGCUUGCUUCUCUUGAGAGCGGCGGACGGGUGAGUAAUGCCUAGGAAUCUGCCUGGUAGUGGGGGAUAACGCUCGGAAACGGACGCUAAUACCGCAUACGUCCUACGGGAGAAAGCAGGGGACCUUCGGGCCUUGCGCUAUCAGAUGAGCCUAGGUCGGAUUAGCUAGUUGGUGAGGUAAUGGCUCACCAAGGCGACGAUCCGUAACUGGUCUGAGAGGAUGAUCAGUCACACUGGAACUGAGACACGGUCCAGACUCCUACGGGAGGCAGCAGUGGGGAAUAUUGGACAAUGGGCGAAAGCCUGAUCCAGCCAUGCCGCGUGUGUGAAGAAGGUCUUCGGAUUGUAAAGCACUUUAAGUUGGGAGGAAGGGCAUUAACCUAAUACGUUGGUGUUCUUGACGUUACCGACAGAAUAAGCACCGGCUAA